rnacentral:rRNA from 1 species
GCGAAUCUCGAAAGCCGGUCUCAGUCGGAUUGGAGGCUGAAACUCGCCUCCAUGAAGUUGGAUUCGCUAGUAAUCGCGCAUCAGCCAUGGCGCGGUGAAUACGUUCCCGGGCCUUGUACACACCGCCCGUCAAGCCAUGGGAGUUGGGGGUGCCUGAAGUACGUGACCGCAAGGAGCGUCCUAGGGCAAAACCGAUGACUGGGGCUAAGUCGUAACAAGGUACC